GGGUCAGUAGGUUGGUCGUGCCACCGGUACGUACUGGUCUCACUGAUUCCUCCUUCCUGAAGAACCGUAAUGCCAUUGAUUUGGUGUUGCGGGGAAACAGGACUGUUACUUUGAAAAAAUUAGAGUGUUUAAAGCAAGCUAACGCUUGAAUACAUUAGCAUGGAAUAAUGAAAUAGGACGAUCGAUCCUGUUUUGUUGGUUUCUAGGAUUGACGUA
rnacentral:rRNA from 1 species